AUUCCGUUCCAAGGCAAACUAGGCAAAGGGUCCUCGUGGCCUCCUCCUCUCCAGACUCCAGAGUCCAGACCGUGACAAGUUCAUCAUCCAGCCCCGCUUGCGCUUGACCCCUUCAAGUCCAAGCAUUCCAUUCCAUCCAGUACCUUCCUUGUCACCUUGACCUUCCCCCUCCCUUCCUAGUCCCCUACUCGCCAGUCCACAGGACCUCGACCCCGCUAAGCAAGCUCCAAGAGCGAUCGCCGCAGAAGAUCCCGCGAUGCAGGCCCCGCCGGCGCCCUCCUCCGUCGACCUGCCGCUGGCGGUGGCGCCGCCGCCGGUGAAGGCGCCGACCCCGCGGCCCCCGCCGCCGGCCUCGCUGCAGCCCGAGUCCCCGGGGGUCUUCUUCUCCGCCGCCGCCGCCGCCGCGCCCCUGGGCACCGCCCACCGCCGCAUCGCCAUCGCCGUCGACCUCUCCGACGAGUCCGCCUACGCCGUGCGCUGGGCCGUCGCCAACUACCUCCGCCCCGGGGACGCCGUCAUCCUGCUCCACGUGCGCCCCACCUCCGUGCUCUACGGCGCCGACUGGGGCGCCGUCGACGUCUCCCUCCCCAACCCUAGCGCCACCGCCGCCUCCGAGGACGGCGACGGCGACUGCGAGACCGCCGCUGCCGCGCGCAGGAUGGAGGACGACUACGACGCCUUCACGGCCACCAAGGCCGACGACUUCGCCAGCCCGCUCAAGGACGCCGGCAUCCCCUACAAGAUCCACAUCGUCAGGGACCACGACAUGAAGGAGCGCCUCUGCCUCGAGGUCGAGCGCCUCUCGCUCAGCGCCGUCAUCAUGGGGAGCAAGGGCUUCGGCGCCGCGCGGAGGACCAGCAAGGGCAGGCUCGGCAGCGUCAGCGACUACUGCGUGCACCACUGUGUCUGCCCCGUUGUGGUGGUGCGCUUCCCUGAUGACGGCUCUGCCGAGGGUGGGGAGGCCGCUGGUUUGUCCGCCGCGGUUGGUGCUGAGGAUGUGCUGCACCCCGUGCCGGAGGAAGAAGGCGAGUACCAUGACGCUGCGGAGGAGCACAAGGUUCCAAUCCAGCCAUGCUCGUCACCACUGAUGUUCCCGCCUCCCUGCCUUGGUGGAUCUGCAUGUGGAGGCCACUGAGGACAUCAUGUCUGCUGGCCUUCGGCAUGAUGCUUGACCUCGUUGAUGCAUUGUGAAGUCCUCUUGGAUUCAGCAUGUAGAGGUUCUAGCAUUCGACUGUUGGCUGGGUGCUAAGCUGGGAUUUGUACUUGAGUGCAUGUGAUGUUUAUGAACUCCCAUUACCGGUGUCUAUCCGUGCUUUCGCUUUGUUUGUAUCCUCCGUUACCUUUGUUCAUGUAGCUUGUCUGACUUCCACUGCGUGGUGGAUAUAUGUCUGAACAUUUGUAGCUACUUUGCGUUGCACUGUGUUUCUGAUGAAAGUUACAGGUUACUGGUCACUUCUAUAGAACCCAAAAAAAACAAGGAUGCAAAUUCGUCCUGA